rnacentral:misc_RNA from 1 species
GAUGAAGAACGUAGCGAAAGUGCGAAACGUAAUGUGAAUUGCAGAAUUCAGUGAAUCAUCGAAUCUUUGAACGCACAUUGCGCCCCCUGGUAUUCCGGGGGGCAUGCCUGUCCGAGCGUCAUUACAACCCUCAAGCUCAGCUUGGUGUUGGGCCCCGCCGCCCCGGCGGGCCCUAAAGUCAGUGGCGGUGCCGUCCGGCUCCGAGCGUAGUAAUUCUUCUCGCUCUGGAGGUCCGGUCGUGUGCUCGCCAGCAACCCCCAAUUUUUUUCAGGUUGACCUCGGAUCAGGUAGGGAUACCCGCUGAACUUAAGCAUAUCAAUAAGCGGAGGA